UUACAAAAAAAAAAAAAAACAACGUAGUAUAGAGUCAAAACUACGCUAUUUUGAGUGCCAAGGUUGAAAAUAAAUCUUGACCCUUCAUUAUAUAUCAUCCAAUGGUCCUGAAACUAUCCCCAUUUUUAAUUAAAACAGUCCAAAUACUAUCACAUACAACCUUUGACCAUGUUCAGAAGCCCUUCGUCUCUCUCAAUUUCCACAGAGCAACCCUAGCCUCACCAACGACCGCCAGUGGCGGCGCCAACGCUGUUGCCUUCCAAAUUAACACCAAAACUUCCUCUCCCUCUCCUCAUCAAUAAUCUCCCUUUUAUCCGCUUCGAAUCCCAUAAGAAUUCCCCAAAACCUCGAAACCCCAGCCGCCGACCUUGUUUGCUCCGGUGGCGGCGACACCACCUUUCCUCACCAAAUCAACAAAAAACGACCACCUCCUUCCUUAUUCCAAAAUAUCCGCUAGUUUUUUUCCGAAUCCCAUCAAAGUCUCUUAAGUGUCAACUUAAGCUUCAGGUCCUAGGCUAGAAAUCAGAAGACCGGCCCAAAAAUCAUCCUUUCAAGAUCCUUGGCCUGUUUUGCCUCGAGAUGAUGUGUUUCUUCCGUUUCAUCACAACGAAGCGUCGAUUUAUAUCAUUUCGAUGUCGAAACAGAGUUGUUCAUUAUGUUAAAUCCUAACAAGGAAGUUUUGCUUUAUUUUUCUUGUUUGUUUUGUGCUCGUCAUCCAUAAUUCGAAUCACUAGUUAUAGGUUUCUGAUUUUUGUUAUAAUCACAUGGUUCAUUUUGCUUUCAUCACUUCCUGGCUGUUUAUGCAUUUUUCUUGAUUUAUUUAUUUCCGUCCAUUAUGCUAAUUGUUUGUCUUGAAUUGUUAGAUUACUGUUCUAAUUAAGUCUAGUAAUCUAGCUGUUUAUGCAUUUUUCUUGAUUUAGUUGUUUCCGUCCAUUAUGCUAAUUGUUUGUCUUGAAUUGUUAGUUUACUGUUCUGAUUAAGUCUACUAAUAAAUUUAAUUGUAGGAUCCUCUUUAAUUAGCACUAGUUUAGUUUAGCUAUUCUUCUUUAGUAUGAUUCGAGAUCUUUGGCCUAUUAGUUGGGAAUUGAGAUUAACAAACUGGGGUUUGGAUUCGGUUUGGAAAGCAUUAGGACCAUUUGUACUGGGCCACUUGGCCCAGACCCUGAUCUGAAAAACCUAAGUAUUUGAGAGGUUUAAAAGAGGGAAUGACUUCUGGGGGAGGUUACAUGUGAGGAUGGGAAAAAUUUCAGGUCUUAGGGGGGAAGUACAUUUUAGAACUUUCCCGCCCUUUUCCUACCUAUAUAAAGGCAUGCUAUUCUGCCUUAGAGAGGAAGUUUUUGAGCUCAUAAAUUCCCCCCAAAAAUCUAUUCUGUGAAAAUCUGAGCCCCAAGUUUAAAUUUCAAAAUCUAAGUCUACUUAAUACUUCAGAAAAACAAAAAACCAACAGAAAAACGAUAGAAAAAUCCAAAAAAAUGUUACAUUUGUGCUCCUUUAGCUAUUUUCAGAUAAAAAACUUCUUGAAUUUCCUUUAGGCAUUGUAUCUGGUUCAUUUGAGUGGACUGUGAGUCAUUGUGUUUGCUGUCGUUUGAAUUCCAAUCACUGCUGUUGCUAACUUCUCUUUCUUCCUGUUAUACUCUGAAUUUCAGGUACAUAUUCUUAGCCCUCAAGUCCAUGGCAAUGAAGUAGAUCUAUUAUUUGAAGUUAAUCUCUAAGCUUCAUCUGUUUUUUGUCUGAUUUUGAUGUAUAAAACAGUAGCCUAUUCGAUAUUACAUGUUAUGUACUCGAUUGAUAUUGAGAUGUAAUAAAUUGGACUGUGAACGGUAGUGAACUGUUAAGUUUUGGAUUAAAGUUUGUUUCUUCUGAAUCAAUAGUCUCAAUAUAGGUAAUUAGAAUUCUUUGUUAGGUAUAACUCAAAUUGGAAAGUGAGAUAAUUGCCAAGUAUACCACUCUUGUGAUACCACUCUUGUGUCAGUGAAGUCAUCUUUCAGUUUGUUCUUCACGUAGUGAUAGUUGACUUCAUGCUGGUUUAAUAGACUACAUAAGUGAUUUGAUCACCUUUUCCAAUGUGUGUGAAUGGUAGAAUAUGACGAGUACAAUAGUACUUCAUUCUUCCACAAUUGAUAUGACGAGUACAUUAGGGCGGAGGGGGUAAUGAGGGCUUUGCCUAGGAUGAAUAGGGGUCGAGCGACCGGGCCUGACGAGAUUUCGAGGUCAUGAGGGCUUUGCGUA
rnacentral:lncRNA from 1 species